rnacentral:rRNA from 1 species
AAUGGACGCAAGUCUGAUGGAGCAACGCCGCGUGAGUGAAGAAGGUUUUCGGAUCGUAAAGCUCUGUUGUUGGUGAAGAAGGAUAGAGGUAGUAACUGGCCUUUAUUUGACGGUAAUCAACCAGAAAGUCACGGCUAACUACGUGCCAGCAGCCGCGGUAAUACGUUAGGUGGCAAGCGUUGUCCGGAUUUAUUGGGCGUAAAGCGAGCGCAGGCGGAAAAAUAAGUCUAAUGUGAAAGCCCUCGGCUUAACCGAGGAAUUGCAUCGGAAACUGUUUUUCUUGAGUGCAGAAGAGGAGAGUGGAACUCCAUGUGUAGCGGUGGAAUGCGUAGAUAUAUGGAAGAACACCAGUGGCGAAGGCGGCUCUCUGGUCUGCAACUGACGCUGAGGCUCGAAAGCAUGGGUAGCGAACAGGAUUAGAUACCCUGGUAGUCCAUGCCGUAAACGAUGAGUGCUAAGUGUUGGGAGGUUUCCGCCUCUCAGUGCUGCAGCUAACGCAUUAAGCACUCCGCCUGGGGAGUACGACCGCAAGGUUGAAACUCAAAGGAAUUGACGGGGGCCCGCACAAGCGGUGGAGCAUGUGGUUUAAUUCGAAGCAACGCGAAGAACCUUACCAGGUCUUGACAUCUAGCGCCAAUCGUAGAGAUACGAUGUUCCCUUCGGGGACGCUAAGACAGGUGGUGCAUGGCUGUCGUCAGCUCGUGUCGUGAGAUGUUGGG